UGGUGGAACCCGGAAGUGCCCCAGCGGGCGUGGGGAGGUAGCCUCUUUGACCCUCGGCGGCGCCUUUCUGUUGGGCUGACCCUGAACAUGGGGGGCUCGGCGGCGGGUGGCUGGGAGCUCCGCGGGGUGUGAGUCAGCGGGGAGGAGCGGCUCUCGGCCGUGGAGGCCUAAUGAGAAAACGGACUCCCGGGGCAGAAGAAGAGCCGGAGGCUGCUCGGGCAGGGGUUUACUAAUGAGGCAGAUGUGAAGAGGCAAAGCAGGAGCACGCAUCUGGACGCGUGUCAGGGCUCGAAGGCUAGCGGAGGGGGUUCAAAGGGAAGGAGGGAGGGGACCUCCAGCCCCAGAGGUACGAAGCUGGUGUCUCUUGUACCUGCUGGGGGGCGACGCCGAAUUUCGGGGUUCACGUGGAAGCUAGUCCUGAAAGGCUCUUGUCAAUAAAGGCACAAUGCUGGAAUCCUAUGUAACUCCUAUUCUAAUGAGUUAUGUGAAUCGUUAUAUAAAGAAUUUGAAGCCCUCUGAUUUACAGUUGUCACUCUGGGGAGGAGAUGUAGUUCUCAGCAAACUUGAACUAAAACUUGAUGUACUUGAACAGGAGCUGAAAUUGCCGUUUACUUUUUUAAGUGGACACAUUCAUGAGUUGCGCAUUCAUGUACCAUGGACAAAGCUUGGUUCGGAACCAGUAGUGAUUACAAUCAAUACAAUGGAGUGCAUCUUGAAGCUAAAGGAUGGACUCCAGGUAAAAACUGCAAGCCUAAAUAAGAC